AGUGAACGCUGGCGGUAGGCCUAACACAUGCAAGUCGAACGGCAGCACAGUAAGAGCUUGCUCUUACGGGUGGCGAGUGGCGGACGGGUGAGGAAUACAUCGGAAUCUACUUUUUCGUGGGGGAUAACGUAGGGAAACUUACGCUAAUACCGCAUACGACCUACGGGUGAAAGCAGGGGAUCUUCGGACCUUGCGCGAAUGAAUGAGCCGAUGUCGGAUUGGCUAGUUGGCGGGGUAAAGGCCCACCAAGGCGACGAUCCGUAGCUGGUCUGAGAGGAUGAUCAGCCACACUGGAACUGAGACACGGUCCAGACUCCUACGGGAGGCAGCAGUGGGGAAUAUUGGACAAUGGGCGCAAGCCUGAUCCAGCCAUACCGCGUGGGUGAAGAAGGCCUUCGGGUUGUAAAGCCCUUUUGUUGGGAAAGAAAAGCAGCAGGUUAAUACCCCGCUGUUCUGACGGUACCCAAAGAAUAAGCACCGGCUAACUUCGUG
rnacentral:rRNA from 1 species